rnacentral:rRNA from 1 species
GAUGAACGCUGACAGAAUGCUUAACACAUGCAAGUCAACUUGAACUUCGGUUUGGGUGGCGGACGGGUGAGUAACGCGUAAAGAACUUGCCUCACAGAUAGGGACAACAUUUGGAAACGAAUGCUAAUACCUGAUAUUAUGAUUUUAGGGCAUCCUAGAAUUAUGAAAGCUAUAUGCGCUGUGAGAGAGCUUUGCGUCCCAUUAGCUAGUUGGAGAGGUAGCGGCUCACCAAGGCGAUGAUGGGUAGCCGGCCUGAGAGGGUGAUCGGCCACAAGGGGACUGAGACACGGCCCUUACUCCUACGGGAGGCAGCAGUGGGGAAUAUUGGACAAUGGACCAAGAGUCUGAUCCAGCAAUUCUGUGUGCACGAUGAAGUUUUUCGGAAUGUAAAGUGCUUUCAGUUGGGAAGAAAAAAAUGACGGUACCAACAGAAGAAGUGACGGCUAAAUACGUGCCAGCAGCCGCGGUAAUACGUAUGUCACAAGCGUUAUCCGGAUUUAUUGGGCGUAAAGCGCGUCUAGGUGGUUAUAUAAGUCUGAUGUGAAAAUGCAGGGCUCAACUCUGUAUUGCGUUGGAAACUGUGUAACUAGAGUACUGGAGAGGUAAGCGGAACUACAAGUGUAGAGGUGAAAUUCGUAGAUAUUUGUAGGAAUGCCGAUGGGGAAGCCAGCUUACUGGACAGAUACUGACGCUGAAGCGCGAAAGCGUGGGUAGCAAACAGG